UACGAAGGGGGCUAGCGUUGCUCGGAAUCACUGGGCGUAAAGCGCACGUAGGCGGAUCUUUAAGUCAGGGGUGAAAUCCUGGAGCUCAACUCCAGAACUGCCUUUGAUACUGGGGAUCUCGAGUCCGGGAGAGGUGAGUGGAACUCCGAGUGUAGAGGUGAAAUUCGUAGAUAUUCGGAAGAACACCAGUGGCGAAGGCGGCUCACUGGCCCGGUACUGACGCUGAGGUGCGAAAGCGUGGGAGCAAACAGGAUAGAUA
rnacentral:rRNA from 1 species